rnacentral:lncRNA from 1 species
CCAAGGGCUGGUGCGAGGGGGUGCACAUGCUGGGGCUCUGGACGCACGCAGCAAACGGGUGAGGGAGGCGCCCGCCCCCGCUCCAGGCACCCUGAGCUGGGAAAUGAGCCUCAGCAGUUCGUUUUGCUAUGGUGUAGCAGCUUGGUUAAGUUGAGGCGAGCUGGCGCGCUUGUGCGUUCAGCACGAUGUGGUCUAUUUAACGGGAGAAGCCCUACAGCCGCCUUCCCAGGAUGCCCCUGGGGCCACGCUCAUAUCACACCUCACUGCCCAGCCAGUGGGGCUCUGCAUCUUCCCUGUAAACAGAGUGGAGGGCGAGACUGCUGUCGGCGGCGUGGACCUCGACUGCAGGUACGGCUGGGUGGAGGGGCGCGGUGUGGGGUGUGUGUGUGUGUGUGUGUGUGUGAGUGUGUAUGGCUGGGUGGAGGGGCAUGCUGUGUGUGUGUGUGUGAACGGCUGGGUGGAGGGGCGUGGUGUGUGUGUGUAGGUACAGCUGGGUGGAGGGGCGUGGUGUGUGUGUGUAGGUACAGCUGGGUGGAGGGACACGGUGUGGUGUGUGUGUGUGUGUGUACAGCUGGGUGGAGGGGCACGGUGUGGUGUGUGUGUGUGUGUGUACAGCUGGGUGGAGGGACACGGUGUGGUGUGGUGUGUGUGUGUGUACAGCUGGGUGGAGGGGCACGGUGUGGUGUGUGUGUGUGUGUGUACAGCUGGGUGGAGGGACACGGUGUGGUGUGUGUGUGUGUGUGCACAGCUGGGUGGAGGGGCACGGUGUGGUGUGUGUAUGUGUGUGGGUACAGCUGGGUGGAGGGGCACAGGGUGAUGGGUGUGUGUGUGUGUACAGCUGGGUGGAGGGGCACGAUGUGGUGUGUGUGUGCGUGUGUGUAUGGUGGGGUGGAGGGGCGUAGUGUGGUGUGGUGUGGUGUGUGUGUGUGUGUGUACAGCUGGGUGGAGGGGCGCGGGGUGGUGUGUGUGUGUGUGUGUACAGCUGGGUGGAGGGGCACGGUGUGGUGUGUGUGUGUGUACAGCUGGGUGGAGAGGCACGGUGUGGUGUGGUGUGUGUGUGGGUACAGCGGGGUGGAGGGGCACGAUGUGAUGUUUGUGUGUAGGUACAGUUGGGUGGAGGGGCGCGGGGUGGUGUGUGUGUGUAUA